rnacentral:rRNA from 1 species
AGGAUGAACGCUAGCGGCGUGCCUAACACAUGCAAGUCGAACGUGAAGGGGUACUUGUACUCCGGAAAGUGGCGGACGGGUGAGUAAGACGUAGAUGACCUGCCUUGGAGUGGGGGAUAACCCUUGGAAACGAUGGCUAAUACCGCAUGAAGUUGUAGGGUUGGGAAACUCGACAACCAAGUUUAGGCGCUUUGAGAGGGGUCUACGGCCGAUUAGCUAGUUGGUGGGGUAAAAGCCUACCAAGGCGAUGAUCGGUAGCUGGUCUGAGAGACGAUCAGCCACACGGGAACUGAGACACGGUCCCGACUCCUACGGGGGGCAGCAGUGAGGAAUAUUCGGCAAUGGGGGGAACCCUGACCGAGCAACGCCGCGUGGAGGAAGACGGUUUUCGGAUUGUAAACUCCUUUUCUGGGGAAGAGGCGAAGGACGGUACCCCGAGGAAUCAGUCACGCUAACACGUGCCAGCAGCCGAC